UAGGGAAUAUUGCAAAAUGGGCGAAAGCCCGAUGCAGCAACGCCGCGUGGGCGAUGAAGGCCUUCGGGUCGUAAAGCCCUUUUUGAGGGGAUGAGGAAGGACAGUACCCUCAGAAUAAGCCUCGGCUAACUACGUGCCAGCAGCCGCGGUAAAACGUAGGAGGCGAGCGUUAUCCGGAUUUACUGGGCGUAAAGCGCGUGCAGGCGGAUUGGAGAGUUGGAUGUGAAAGCUCCCGGCUUAACUGGGAGAGGUCGUUCAAUACUUCCAGUCUUGAGUGCAGUAGAGGGAAGUGGAAUUCCGGGUGUAGUGGUGAAAUACGUAGAUAUCUGGAAGAACACCAGUUGCGAAGGCGGUCUCUUGGUCCGACACUGACGCUGAGGCGCGAAAGCGUGGGGAGCAAACA
rnacentral:rRNA from 1 species